GCCGGGUGUUGGUGGUGGGCACCUGUAAUCCCAGCUACUCAGGAGGCUGAGGCAGGAGAAUUGCUUGAACCCAGGAGGCGGAGGUUGCAGUGAGCCGAAAUUGUGCCACUGCUCUCCAGCCUGGGUGACAGAGUGAGACCCCGUCUCAA
rfam:Pan troglodytes isolate Yerkes chimp pedigree #C0471 (Clint) chromosome 17, whole genome shotgun sequence.